rnacentral:lncRNA from 1 species
GCUUGACAGUACUCCUCGAGGAUCUUUGCAAAGGCCUCUGCAUUCUGGAUUGAUGCCCAAUCUACCAAAAGACUGUCAUUUACAAACAAUAAGUGAGAGAUCAGAUGGGCUCCAUGGGCUGGCAGAUAAGGGUCCAAUGCCGAACCCAACGCCGCAGCCCUCAGGCUCGAGAAGGAACAUUGGCACAAUAAAUAAAGAGAAAGGGUGACAAACAACAACCUUAGCAGAGGCUGAUAGUGGAAUGAAAGUAGUCGGACAGUAUAUCAUUGAUGAGGAUGGAGAAC